rnacentral:misc_RNA from 1 species
AACGCAUCUUGCGCUCCUUGGUAUUCCGAGGAGCAUGCCUGUUUGAGUGUCAUUAAAUUAUCAACCUUACCAGCUUUGUUGCUUGGUCUGGCUUGGAUGUGGGGGUUUUUGCAGGCUUUUCACAGUCAGCUCCCCUGAAAUGUAUUAGCGGUACCCUUGUGGUAAACGGCUACUGGUGUGAUAACUAUCUACGCCAUUAGACGCCCACGUUAUAUAUGGGGGUCAUGCUGCUUCUAACAGUCCAUUGACUUGGACAGACUACAAAUGACAAUUUUGACCUCAAAUCAGGUAGGACUACCCGCUGAACUUAA